GAAAAUAAACAUGUUAUUCACUGACUUUUAAUCAGUAGGUCCAGGGUUCGAAUCCCUGCGCGCUCACCA
rnacentral:tRNA from 1 species